UACAGAGGUCUCAAGCGUUGUUCGGAUUCAUUGGGCGUAAAGGGCGCGCAGGCGGCUCGGAAAGUCGGGUGUGAAAACUCGGGGCUCAACCCCGGGCGUGCAUCCGAUACUGCCGAGCUUGAGGCAGGUAGGGGAGAUCGGAAUUCCUGGUGUAGCGGUGAAAUGCGCAGAUAUCAGGAGGAACACCGGUGGCGAAGGCGGAUCUCUGGGCCUGUCCUGACGCUGAGGCGCGAAAGCUAGGGGAGCGAACAGG
rnacentral:rRNA from 1 species